ACUGAAGUGUACUGGCUGGGGGGAGGCAUUUUCCGCUACAGGAGGGGUCCAUGGAGGUACAGAACUUCUAAGUGAUAAAGGGCCACAAGGUCAGGCACUGGAGGCAGAAGUACACGGACAGUGUGCAGGGAAAUAGAUGAGCAAAGGUGCUGUGGAGAUGUAACAAGGGCUCGCACAUGUCAUAGUAUGAGCUCAACAAACAGAAGGGUACAAAAGUGGUGGGAAGUGGCUCCCCACAAAGCUAAGAAGACCAAAGUAUGUAAGGUCCUGAUCAACUACGAAUGCCUUUAUGUAGAGAAAUUCUGAUUGUAAAGUCAUCUCCAUUUCUAUUGGUUUAUCUUGUUGAGACACUCUGCUGUUUCAGAGCAAUUUUGCCAUGAUCGUUCAUCGCUGUUUCCUAGCUCUUCUCUUCCUUGCUCUGAUCUCUGCCUCAGAAACCGACGAUAAUUAUGAAGUCAAUAGUGUGCUGGACUGUAAAAAUGUAACGAUGUGUAGUUCUAAAAGUGCAUCUGGACAGUGCAUCUAUACUAGAGAGGUUAACAUGUGCGUCUUGCGUCUUAGGAAAACUCAAAGGGAACAAACCUUAAAGAAAUAGAAAUUAGGAAGACAUGAUGAUUGACUGCUUUGUCAUGUCAAUAAAGUUGGAGUUUGUCCAUCUCC